AUUACCACCGUUUAUGCCCACGUCCCCACAUUUUUUGGGUCGAUUCGAUUUGUGAGCGGAAAGCGGUGAGCAGUUCUGGAGGCGAGCGACGGCAGAUUUCGGCGACGAGCGGGUGGCGGCAUAUUUUGGUUGGAGGCUGCUGCUUGCGGCGCUGGGGUGACCCCGUGGACCGGUGGCAACGUCGAGGUGAACAGCGAUGCGGGAGGCUCCGCUGCGGGUGGCGGCCUCAUCGGCCGGCGACAUUCCGGUGGCUGUCAACAGGGGAAUAAGCACCUUGCUCUCCUCUGCGACCUCAUCAUCAAUUGGAAUCGAGAAGGUCACAUCCCGUUGCUUACUCUCCAUCAGAAGCCGCCAGAAUCGAUCGCCACCUCCCUACCUGAGCGCCACGAGUCCCCCCAACUUCCAGAUCCCGCCCAUCAGCGCCUCAAAAGUGUUGUUUCAGUUUAUGCUGUAGCCCGAUGUGGCAUGAGAUGAGCUCAAACCUAAUUUAUUCCCACUGAAUCUGGCGAGCUUUUUACACUUGUGUUACUGUUUCCAUCUGGAGAUGAAAAAUUCUAUCGUCAGAUUUCAGCUGACAAGGUAAAUCUUGCCAGUCCCUCAUCGCCGCGCUGGUGCUGCUACCUCCAUUCCUGGUCCCUCUUUGUCGUGCAAGGCAACAAAGGAGAGUCACCAUGAAUGCGAGUCUCGCCACCCUCGUGUUCACGACUGCUCCGGAGUCCUGACAAGGCAGAGGUCGUUGCUGGCAAUCAUUCAACGAGCAUGCUGUAAUAAAAUGAUUUUUUACAAACAAAACUAUAAAAAAUGAAUCUGAGAAAUGUUUCGAGGUCGCCGUACUGCGUUUCAAAAACAAAUGUAGUUGAUCCAAGUCAGAGAGCAUGCUGUGAUGAAAUGUAAAAACAAAUCUGCGAGAUCGCCGCACAUGAAGUAUUUUAAAUGUGCUCACCAUUGGGGUAUGAUCAUUAUUCCUUUUAGAUGUCUAUAGUACAAUUUACAUCAACGCUUCUAGCCAAUUUUAUGUUGGAUGGUUAGGAUGCGAAGUUAAUUUAAUAUCUGAUACCACUUGGAAAGUUCAUAUGGUAAAAAAUGGAAUGAUUUACAAGGCGACUGAAAUAAUCCUUUGCGUACUGGUCACAACCACAAGAAAAGCAGCAGCUGCUCAUGAACAUGAAUUAAUAAGUAAAACAUAUGAAGAAGAUGAUUCUCAUUGUUAUGUGCCCCCCUUGGUUAUACACACUUUUUUUCUUCUAAAUUCUUCUCUCCUCCUUCCUUUUCCUGUAUAUAAUUUUGGGAUACGUCUGGUAGAAUAUUUUGUGUCGUCAUAGGUACAAAGAGCCAAUAACUCGCCAUUAAGAGAAGAAAUGCAUAGUCCGACUUUAUUUGUAAAACGGGGUGAAAGCCUAUUUCGAGAGAAAUGCAUAGCUCUGCUUGCCACUGUGUCUGGCAAUUAUGGAAAUCCUUAAGAAACUACUCCCUCUGUCUCAUAAUAUAAGAGCGUUUUUGACACUACACGCUCUUAUAUUAUGGGACAGAGGGAGUAGAUGUCAUUUGCUAUUCUGCAUCAGGUUUGGCAAUAGAUAGAGUGGUACUACAAACUGGUGCUGAGACACGGAAGCAAGCUCUUUUGGGUGAAGUGAAGCUCACCCUGCCAAAAGUGCCUUGUGUGCAAAAUGAAUUAAUGGACCAUUUCAUUAUCGCUACCAAAAUUACCUUGUACAAAACGAUUAGUGGAGUAGGUGCAGAACGACCAUUAAAAGACUAGUGAAAAUAUCUAAUGUACAUUAUAGGAAUGCAACUUUAUCCUAUAUGAAAGAAGUCAGGAACGCCUUCCCAUUCGUUGCCGUAAGAUUACAGCAGCAUCGUUCGUUUUUAUAUUGUGAUCUCGUUGGACGAUACACAAGAGGACGUAACAUUCAUUCUGUAAGAUUACCUCGUAACUCACAGGCAUGCAUUCUCUAAGAUUACCUCGAUCCUUUUUGUACGGCGGCGGUACAACUUUCCUUCCAUGCCAUUGUAAUCUUACCUCAAGUCUUUUAUUUCUUAUGUUUUGAAGUUUCUGAGCAUGGGAUUGGACUGGGGUGAGGAAUAAGAAUUCCUCACCCAUGGUGAUAUGUAUAAAAAAUGCUAGUCAUAAUGAAAAAAUGUACCAACAUUUCAAAAAGUAUAUGUAAUUUUUUUAUAAAUGUGUAUACAAAGUAAAGGAAAACUUUUAUGUAAUAUAUUUGUACAAAAAAGUAUCUAAUAUUUUGAAUGAAUAUUAUUGUGUUUCAAAAAAUAUUUGUAAAACGUAAAGGAAAAUGUUUAUAUGAAUGUAAAUAUAUGUGUGUGCAAGUUUCAAAAAAUGUCUAUUGCCAGUUAAAAAUAUGUACAUGACAUUUAUAAAAGUAUUCUCGCUGUUAAAAUUAUAUAUAUACAAUGUAAUAGAAAUAUUAUGGUACUUUAAAAAAUAUUUAACGCCAUUUGAAAAAUGUGCCAAUACAUAUUUUGGAGAAAGUGCUCAGAACAUGUAUUUAAAAUAAUAGUUAUAAUAUAUUUGGAAAGCGUUAAAUGUGUAUAAAAUAAUGUUUCAGAUGUAUACAAAAAAUGUAUAAUGUGUAUGAAAAAGAAUAGACAUGAAAACAUAUAUUUUUUAAGAAAAAUCAUGUAUUUUUUAAAUGAUAAACAUGUACAAAAAUAAUUUUUCUAGUGCAUACAAAAAAUAUAUAAAAAUUUGUAUGAAAAAGAAAUGACAUAAAAAUAGUACUUGUGAACAUAAUGUUAAUCUUCUAAUUGACAAAUGUCAAAUGUGUAUAAAAAUUGUUUCACAUGCAUAUAAAAAAUGUACAGAUGUGUAUGAAGAAAAUAUAAAUUAAAAUAUUUAUUUGGAUAAAAUUGUUAAUCAUCUAUUUGAAACUACGAAACGUGUAUAAAAAUAAUUAUUCGGGGAUAUACAAAAAAUGUAAAAUAUGUAUGAAAAAGAAUAGAUAUCAGAAUAUCUAUUUCAAGAAAUUUUUAAUCGUGUACUUGAAAAAUGUUAAACAUGUAUUACAAUAUUGCUCAGACGUAUACAAGAAAUGACAAUGUGUAUGAAAAAAGUAGAGAUCAAAACAUGUAUUUGAAAAAACAAAUGUUAAAUGCAUAUAAAAACAUGCUCCUAAUGUACACUAAAAAUGCACAUUGAGUGCGAAGAAAAAUAGACAUGUGUUGGGAAAAAAACAUUGAAACAGAAGAAAGAAAGAAAUAAAACCAAGCAAAAACAAAAACCAAAGAAAAGCGAAGUAGAACCACUACAAAACAAUGGAAACAGUUGAAACCAAAGAAAACGAGAGCAAAACAAUGGAAACCAUUGUAAACCAAAGAAAAAUUAAAGAAACUGUAAAACCCGAAGAAAACCAUUACAAAACAGCAAAUACAAUGCAAACGAGGCUACAAUUCUGGGCCGGCCCAGUACUGCAGCAAAGGGACAAAUGUUUCACUUGAGGGGAGACACACGAGUGAAAAUCGAGAAAGAAACAAAAAAAGAAAAAAGGAAAGAAAUAAAAACCGGUGAAAACCGAGAAAGAAACAAA